AUACCUUUCUCGGCCUUUUGGCUAAGAUCAAGUGUAGUAUCUGUUCUUAUCAGUUUAAUAUCUGAUAUGUGGGCCAUUGGUCCACACGAUAUUAACUCAAUUUUGUAAGGGGAAGAGUCCAUUAAGGUAGCUUGCUACCUGGGCUCUUGGGCGUCGCCAUGCGUUGCACUACUGCAUGGUCCUGGCGCACCCCAC
rnacentral:snRNA from 1 species